ACGUGAAACCUUGUGGGAAGCAGGGAGGACCACCUCCCAAGGCUAAAUACUACCUGAUGACCGAUAGUGAAGCAGUACCGUGAGGGAAAGGUGAAAAGAACCCCGGGAGGGGAGUGAAAUAGAACCUGAAACCGUGUGCCUACAACCGCUCAGAGCCCCUUAUGAGGGUGAUGAGGUGCUUUUUGUAGAACGAGCCAACGAGUUACGGUAUGUAGCAAGGUUAAGUACUUAAGGUACGGAGCCGAAGGGAAACCGAGUCUGAAUAGGGCGACUAGUUGCAUGCCGUAGACCCGAAACCGGGUGACCUAUCCAUGGCCAGGUUGAAGCGAGGGUAAAACCUCGUGGAGGACCGAACCACGUUGCUGUUGAAAAAGCAUGGGAUGAGCUGUGGAUAGCGGAGAAAUUCCAAUCGAACCCGGAGAUAGCUGGUUCUCUCCGAAAUAGCUUUAGGGCUAGCGUCGAGUAUGAGUAGUGGAGGUAGAGCACUGAAUGGGCUAGGGGGCAUAGCGCUUACCGAACCUUAUCAAACUCCGAAUGCCACAUACUUUGAGCUCGGCAGUCAGACUACGAAUGAUAAGAUCCGUGGUCAAAAGGGAAACAGCCCAGAUCGUCAGCUAAGGUCCCAAAGUGUAAGUUAAGUGGGAAAGGAUGUGAGAUUUCUAAGACAACUAGGAUGUUGGCUUAGAAGCAGCCAUUCAUUAAAAGAGUGCGUAAUAGCUCACUAGUCGAGAGAUCUUGCGCCGAAAAUGUAACGGGGCUAAACUUACCA
rnacentral:rRNA from 1 species